rnacentral:sRNA from 1 species
UUCCUAUAUUAAGUUCUGAUAUUUCAUGC